GCCAGUGUGGCUCAGUGGUAGAGCAUUGGCCUGUGCACUCAAGGGUCAUGGGUUUGAUUCCUGGUCAAGGACA
rfam:Myotis brandtii contig164647, whole genome shotgun sequence.